rnacentral:rRNA from 1 species
AUUAGAGUUUGAUCCUGGCUCAGGACGAACGCUGGCGGCGUGCCUAAUACAUGCAAGUCGAGCGGACCGAACGGGAGCUUGCUCUCGUUUGGUCAGCGGCGGACGGGUGAGAACACGUGGGCAACCUGCCCGCAAGACCGGGAUAACUCCGGGAAACCGGAGCUAAUACCGGAUAACACCGAAGACCGCAUGGUCUUUGGUUGAAAGGCGGCCUUUGGCUGUCACUUGCGGAUGGGCCCGCGGCGCAUUAGCUAGUUGGUGAGGUAACGGCUCACCAAGGCGACGAUGCGUAGCCGGCCUGAGAGGGUGACCGGCCACACUGGGACUGAGACACGGCCCAGACUCCUACGGGAGGCAGCAGUAGGGAAUCUUCCGCAAUGGGCGAAAGCCUGACGGAGCGACGCCGCGUGAGCGAAGAAGGCCUUCGGGUCGUAAAGCUCUGUUGUGAGGGACGAAGGAGCGCCGUUCGAAGAGGGCGGCGCGGUGACGGUACCUCACGAGAAAGCCCCGGCUAACUACGUGCCAGCAGCCGCGGUAAUACGUAGGGGGCGAGCGUUGUCCGGAAUUAUUGGGCGUAAAGCGCGCGCAGGCGGCCCCUUAAGUCUGAUGUGAAAGCCCACGGCUCAACCGUGGAGGGUCAUUGGAAACUGGGGGGCUUGAGUGCAGGAGAGGAGAGCGGAAUUCCACGUGUAGCGGUGAAAUGCGUAGAGAUGUGGAGGAACACCAGUGGCGAAAGGCGGCUCUCU